GCAGCCGCGGUAAUACGGAGGAUCCAAGCGUUAUCCGGAUUUAUUGGGUUUAAAGGGUGCGUAGGCGGUUUGAUAAGUUAGAGGUUAAAUGUCAGUGCUCAACACUGGCCUGCCUCUAAUACUGUUGAACUAGAGAGUAGAUGCGGUAGGCGGAAUGUAUGGUGUAGCGGUGAAAUGCGUAGAGAUCAUACAGAACACCGAUUGCGAAGGCAGCUUACCAAACUAUAUCUGACGUUGAGGCACGAAAGCGUGGGUAGCAAACAGGAUUAGAUACCCC
rnacentral:rRNA from 1 species